UUUCUCACAAUCGAUACGCGAAAUUGGCAACAACUUUUGGGAAAAAAUCCGAGAGGGGGAGUUAACAUGGCCGUGGCUACACCAGUAUUCUAUUACUCUGAUCUAAUCUAUGACUCUGCCUCCAGCCUGCUCCUUGGUUAGUUGGCUCGCAACCUGGCAUUGCUGCCCUCUGCCAGUUGUAUUGGUAAUUUGAGGGAAAACCACAAUAGGAUGUUUGGUUGGAGGGAACGCCAAAGGCCCACAUAUUUUUCAGCACUCAGUACCAUUUAUUUCUUCUGCUUCGAAUAUUCACCAACAACAACGCGCAAAUGAAAAUAAAUUGUACUACUCGAAGUGCUGAAAAUAUAUGGGGUCAUUUAGUGUUCCGUA